rnacentral:tRNA from 1 species
CAAAACGUAACUUAAAUAAAGUACCUCGCUUACACCGAGAACAUGUCUGUUUAACCCAGAUCGUUUUGA